rnacentral:lncRNA from 1 species
AUCUUUACUGAUAUAUAAUCUUUACUGAUAAACAAAAAUUUAAAUAAUCUUUACUGAUUUCUGUAUUAUUGAAAGAUCUUAUUGUAAGGGCAGCAGUGGGGUGGAAAGAUUCAAGAUUAUUACUUUUGUUAAGACCUUGUCUUAUGCAUGUAUAAAUAAUAAUUUUUUUUUUUUAAUCUCUUCCUAAACAAAAUAUGUUCUUAGUGACCCUACUCUAUGGGCUUUCACCAUGUUCAGAACUACGGUGUCUGUGCCUUCCAACAGUGUGUGAAGCAAUCUGUUUUAACAGAAAAGCUGCAAUCACAGUGAGCUUGGAGGAACACAGAAUAAUUGAUUGGAUUAGUAACGGACCUGAAAUACUAGAAGCAAGUCUGAUGGCAAAUUCUUCCAUCACUGAGAAAUCUUCCUCUGACAGAGAGCUACAGUUAUAUGUGAACAUAUGAUUUAAUUGUUUAUAGAAGCAAAAGCAUAACAUGGGAUGUCAUUUGGGAUUUGUUAAAAGGAAGAAUGCAGAGGCAGAAGCUGUUCUAGCCUUAUUGAUACAAUCCAAUGUCAAAACAUAAAUUAGUUGGUGACUGUAAUGGAAUCUAUGUCUUAUACUGGUAUUACAGUAAAUAAUUACAGUAUACUGUAAAAAAUAAAAACAGGGGAAGCCUUACA